UUCCGGUUGAUCCUGCCGGACCUGACUGCUAUCGGAUUGAUACUAAGCCAUGCGAGUCUUUGUAGUAAUACAAGGCAUACGGCUCAGUAACGCGUAGUCAACCUACCCUAUGGACAAGAAUAAUCUCGGGAAACUGAGCAUAAUUCUUGAUAGAUCAUAAUGCCUGGAAUGGUUUAUGGUUAAAAUGAUUCGUCGCCAUAGGAUGGGACUGCGGCCUAUCAGCUUGUUGGUGAGGUAAUGGCCCACCAAGGCGAUAACAGGUACGGGCUCUGAGAGGAGAAGCCCGGAGAUGGGUACUGAGACAAGGACCCAGGCCCUAUGGGGCGCAGCAGGCGAGAAAACUUUGCAAUGUGCGAAAGCACGACAAGGUUAAUCCGAGUGAUUUCUGCUAAAGGAAUCUUUUGUUAGUUCUAAAAAUACUAGUGAAUAAGGGGUGGGCAAGUUCUGGUGUCAGCCGCCGCGGUAAAACCAGCACCUCAAGUGGUCAGGAGGAUUAUUGGGCCUAAAGCAUCCGUAGCCUGUUCUAUAAGUUUGCGGUUAAAUCUAUACGCUCAACGUAUAGGCUGCCGUAAAUACUGUAGAACUAGGGAGUGGGAGAGGUAGACGGUACUCGAUAGGAAGGGGUAAAAUCCUUUGAUCUAUUGAUGACCACCUGUGGCGAAGGCGGUCUACCAGAACACGUUCGACGGUGAGGGAUGAAAGCUGGGGGAGCAAACCGGAUUAGAUACCCGGGUAGUCCCAGCUGUAAACGAUGCAGACUCGAUGAUGCAAUGGCAUAGAGCUAUUGCAGUAUCGCAGGGAAGCCGUUAAGUCUGCCGCCUGGGAAGUACGUACGCAAGUAUGAAACUUAAAGGAAUUGGCGGGGGAGCACCACAAGGGGUGAAGCCUGCGGUUCAAUUGGAGUCAACGCCGGG
rnacentral:rRNA from 1 species